AGUGAACGCUGGCGGUAGGCCUAACACAUGCAAGUCGAACGGCAGCACAGUAAGAGCUUGCUCUUACGGGUGGCGAGUGGCGGACGGGUGAGGAAUACAUCGGAAUCUACUUUUUCGUGGGGGAUAACGUAGGGAAACUUACGCUAAUACCGCAUAUGACCUACGGGUGAAAGCAGGGGAUCUUCGGACCUUGCGCGAUUGAAUGAGCCGAUGUCGGAUUAGCUAGUUGGCGGGGUAAAGGCCCACCAAGGCGACGAUCCGUAGCUGGUCUGAGAGGAUGGUAGGCCACACUGGAACUGAGACACGGUCCAGACUCCUACGGGAGGCAGCAGUGGGGAAUAUUGGACAAUGGGCGCAAGCCUGAUCCAGCCAUACCGCGUGGGUGAAGAAGGCCUUCGGGUUGUAAAGCCCUUUUGUUGGGAAAGAAAAGCAGCAGGUUAAUACCCCGCUGUUCUGACGGUACCCAAAGAAUAAGCACCGGCUAACUUCGUG
rnacentral:rRNA from 1 species